GACCCCAAAAAACUACUUAACUUUUGUAAUUUUAAAUAUCAAAAUAUUGAUCUAUCUACUCUCAAGAACUGAAAGUUCAUUGGAGUGGUCCAAUCUUUAACAGAAAAUUAGUGUCAGCAUCUGAUCUCUUCCAGUCCGAAGUGCUCAGUGAUUCAAAAAAGCGAAGAGGCAUUUUCAAUAAGUGUUGGUUUGAGCAAAAAAGAUGCUUUAUUUGAUACUAUCAUUAUCAAGUGAGUACGAUGCUUGCUUCUGUGGCCUAUUGACACAAAAGUAGCACUGUAUCAAAUUCCUCGACUAUGGAAAAGGAAGUUGCUGAAGAGGAAAUCAUUUAACAUGAGACAAAGGAAAGCACAAAAUUGUUUAUUUACAGAAUACAUAUUUCUGGGUUGCUUUAAUACUGGCGAGGAGACACACUUAAAAGUCCAUUCCUCGAUAUCAAGCGUUAUAUAGAUAGAUAUAUCUGUGAUUUUCACUUUAUGUAUGAUAGUAUAAAUAUGAAAAUUUAAUAAAUUUAUAUCAGAUCCUUGAGUCAACCCAAAAAACAGCAGAACCCAGAAGGAGACACAGUAAAGACCGCUACUUUAGCACCAUUGUCUAGCACUUCUGAAAAGAAGUAAUAUGUGUGCAAUCAGGAUGAUUCUCACUGCUAUUUUUGAUUGACUGGCCUUCAACUUUGGGAAGACAAUAACAAUAAAAGUACUCCAUAAGAAUGCUUAUUUUCCUGUUUGUCGCGCACUGUCAGUUAGUUCAGUUAGAAUCCACUACAUACUAGAGUCCAUAUGUUGGAUUGAAAAAGCUCCUCUAAAGUAAGCUUCUUUGUAAAAUCAGCAGGCAGCAACAAAUUUCCCUUUAGAUUUUUUGUGAAAUAAAGUUUCAAUUCACAUAAACUUCAGGAUAUAAUGUGGAAUUAUUGAUCUCACUUUCACAUAUAUACGUGUUUAUCACAUCAUUUUUUAUGCACGGACUAUUUUUAUAUAAAAAGAUAAAAUAAAGUCAAA